rnacentral:piRNA from 1 species
CUAGCAGGUGAUGAUCCUGAAAUGGU